rnacentral:rRNA from 1 species
AGUGAACGCUGGCGGUAGGCCUAACACAUGCAAGUCGAACGGCAGCACAGUAAGAGCUUGCUCUGACGGGUGGCGAGUGGCGGGAGGGUGAGGAAUACAUCGGAAUCUACUUUUUCGUGGGGGAUAACGUAGGGAAACCUACGCUAAUACCGCAUACGAUGUACGGGGGCAAGCAGGGGAACUUCGGACCUUGAGCGCUUGAAUGAGCAGAUGUCGGAUUUGCUCGUGGGCGGGGUAAAGGCCCACCACGGCGCCGCUCCGUAGCUGGUCUGAGAGGAUGAUCAGCCACACUGGAACUGAGACACGGUCCAGACUCCUACGGGAGCCAGCAGUGGGAAAUAUCGGACAUGGGCCGCAAGCCUGACCCAGCCAUACCGCGUGGGUGAGGAAGGCCUUCGAGUGGUAAGGCCCGUUUUUUGGGAAGGAAGAGCGGCAGGUUAAAACCCCGCUGUUCUGACGGUACCCAAAGAGUAAGCACCGGCUAACUUCGUG